rnacentral:rRNA from 1 species
AUUGAACGCUGGCGGCAGGCCUAACACAUGCAAGUCGAGCGGAUGAAGGGAGCUUGCUCCUGGAUUCAGCGGCGGACGGGUGAGUAAUGCCUAGGAAUCUGCCUGGUAGUGGGGGAUAACGUCCGGAAACGGGCGCUAAUACCGCAUACGUCCUGAGGGAGAAAGGGGGGGAUCUUCGGACCUCACGCUAUCAGAUGAGCCUAGGUCGGAUUAGCUAGUUGGUGGGGUAAAGGCCUACCAAGGCGACGAUCCGUAACUGGUCUGAGAGGAUGAUCAGUCACACUGGAACUGAGACACGGUCCAGACUCCUACGGGAGGCAGCAGUGGGGAAUAUUGGACAAUGGGCGAAAGCCUGAUCCAGCCAUGCCGCGUGUGUGAAGAAGGUCUUCGGAUUGUAAAGCACUUUAAGUUGGGAGGAAGGGCAGCAAGUUAAUACCUUGCUGUUUUGACGUUACCAACAGAAUAAGCACCGGCUAACUUCGUG